AACUUUGCGCAGUGGCAGUAUCAUAACCAAUGAAGUUAAUCUGAGGUGUGAUUAUUGCUAGUUGAAAACUUUUCCCAAGGGA
rnacentral:snRNA from 1 species